UCCAGCGUAGCUCAGCUGGUAGAGCGCCUGACUGUUAAUCAGGUGGUCGCAGGUUCGAGUCCUGCCGCUGGAG
rnacentral:tRNA from 1 species